CGUAGCCACGGUAAUACGGAGGGAGCUAGCGUUGUUCGGAAUUACUGGGCGUAAAGCGCGCGUAGGCGGUUACUCAAGUCAGAGGUGAAAGCCCGGGGCUCAACCCCGGAACUGCCUUUGAAACUAGGUGACUAGAAUCUUGGAGAGGUCAGUGGAAUUCCGAGUGUAGAGGUGAAAUUCGUAGAUAUUCGGAAGAACACCAGUGGCGAAGGCGACUGACUGGACAAGUAUUGACGCUGAGGUGCGAAAGCGUGGGGAGCAAACAGGAUUAGAUACCCCCGUAGUCCCUGUCUCUUAUACA
rnacentral:rRNA from 1 species